rnacentral:lncRNA from 1 species
GUUUUAUUUAAUAUUUUUCUUGAUUUUAUAUAGAACAACUGCAAUUAAUGCUUUUGUUUUAAAAACGUUUAGUAUGUUAAAAAAUCAAGUCAAAAUCAUCUAUUUACAAAGGAAAUUCCAAUCUUUAGAUAAAAAUCCACUUAUUCUCACCUAGUGCAGCAUUCAUCAAUGAUGAUUAAUCAUUUAAGAUUCAAGCUAAGUGUGAGCAAAGUGUUCAUUUCUGCAAUGAAUCAAAAACAGAUCAUCUUUUUGAAGUUGUUGUUAAAUUUGGAAUUGGAAAUUACAAUCUCAAUUAUAAGAAUAUUCAAAUCAGACACAAUGGUGAGUAGUGGUAGCAGACCAAUCACCAACAAACAUUAUCUGCAGUAUAAUCCAAUAUAUACAUUUUAAAAUACUUUGUAAAGCAUGUACAUAAAUAAAACACUGACACCAUCUAUAAUUGCCAUGUUUGUGUUAAAUUUUGGUUUAUUUUGUGAAUUAAUUCAUUUUUUAAUACUUUCAGUAUGUUGAGAAAUUAUUUUGAAUUUGAGCUUUUCCAUUCAGAAUUUUUUUCUCAUACUAGAGACAUCUUUUAUUCUGCUCAUUUAGAAAUG